AUGGGUAAAUGGAGCGGUGUGCUUUGAAUUGGAACGGUGCAGUUAGACCAACAUGGCGUAGCAGGGUUCUAUGCGCCUUGGAAAUGUUGUGUCUACUAUACUUCUGGAAAAAAAAAUCAAGCGCAUUGACUAAGCAAAAAGGAAAAACCAACAAAGGACUACUCGAGGGCCAUGAUUGAUGCUGAAGGCUGGGAGGCAUGAGAAUAGGCAAAUGUCUUAAAGAUAAUAAAGUAGGGGAUUUCUUACUUUGAUACAGCAGUAAAUGUGAAAUAGGCUUUUUUAAAGCACUUGCCCUCAAUGAUAAAUCUGAAAACAUUUUUCUAUCAACCUAAAGAUAAUGAGGAAAGGGGAAAUGUUAGGAGAGUGCUCAACCAAGUUGUUGCAUUACUGAUUAGUUUUUUUUAUUAAAGCUAUAGUCCAAUUUCUUCCUUUUCUCUCUCUCUCUCUCAUUUUCUCAACAUUUUCAAUCAAUUUGCAUAUGUGGAUCCAUGGUUUCUAUAUAUAAAAAAAAAAAACAAACAAACAGCAGGCCACCAUCCUACAGGGUGGGUGCACCAAUGUCUAAUGCAUGACUGGAGGUAUAUUUGUGGAUAAUUUCCUUGGUGAUGGAGUAUCACCAGUAAUAAGUGAUAUAUUAAUCUUCCAUAUGGCACCUGAAGUGUAUCUAACUAUAUCAUUCUAUCUUUGGAA